CCUACGGGGGGCAGCAGUGAGGAAUAUUGGUCAAUGGACGAGAGUCUGAACCAGCCAAGUAGCGUGAAGGAUGACUGCUCUAUGGGUUGUAAACUUCUUUUAUAUGGGAAUAAAAUGUUCCACGUGUGGGAUUUUGUAUGUACCAUAUGAAUAAGGAUCGGCUAACUCCGUGCCAGCAGCCGCGGUAAUACGGAGGAUCCGAGCGUUAUCCGGAUUUAUUGGGUUUAAAGGGAGCGUAGGUGGAUUGGUAAGUCAGUUGUGAAAGUUUGCGGCUCAACCGUAAGAUUGCAGUUGAAACUGGCAGUCGUGAGUACAGUAGAGGUGGGCGGAAUGCGUGGUGUAGCGGUGAAAUGCUUAGAUAUCACGAAGAACUCCGAUUGCGAAGGCAGCUCACUGGACUGCAACUGACACUGAGGCACGAAAGUGUGGGUAUCAAACGGGAUUAGAUACCCUUGUAGUC
rnacentral:rRNA from 1 species